rnacentral:rRNA from 1 species
UACGUAGGGUGCGAGCGUUGUCCGGAAUUAUUGGGCGUAAAGAGCUGUAGGCGGUUCUGUCGCGUCUGCUGUGAAAAUCCGGGGCUCAACCCGGACUUGCAGUGGGUACGGGCAGACUAGAGUGUGGUAGGGGAGACUGGAAUUCCUGGUGUAGCGGUGAAAUGCGCAGAUAUCAGGAGGAACACCGAUGGCGAAGGCAGGUCUCUGGGCCAC